rnacentral:rRNA from 1 species
AGUGAACGCUGGCGGUAGGCCUAACACAUGCGAGUCGAACGGCAGCACAGUAAGAGCUUGCUCUUACGGGUGGCGAGUGGCGGACGGGUGAGGAAUACAUCGGAAUCUACUUUUUCGUGGGGGAUAACGUAGGGAAACUUACGCUGAUACCGCAUACGACCUACGGGUGAAAGCAGGGGAUCUUCGGACCUUGCGCGAUUGAAUGAGCCGAUGUCGGAUUAGCUAGUUGGCGGGGUAAAGGCCCACCAAGGCGACGAUCCGUAGCUGGUCUGAGAGGAUGAUCAGCCACACUGGAACUGAGACACGGUCCAGACUCCUACGGGAGGCAGCAGUGGGGAAUAUUGGACAAUGGGCGCAAGCCUGAUCCAGCCAUACCGCGUGGGUGAAGAAGGCCUUCGGGUUGUAAAGCCCUUUUGUUGGGAAAGAAAAGCAGCAGGUUAAUACCCCGCUGUUCUGACGGUACCCAAAGAAUAAGCACCGGCUAACUUCGUG